rnacentral:tRNA from 1 species
GGCGGCGUCGCCAAGUGGCUAAGGCAGGAGUCUGCAAAACUCCCAUCACCGGUUCGAGUCCGGUCGCCGCCUCCA